rnacentral:rRNA from 1 species
GCCAGACUCCUACGGGAGGCAGCAGUGGGGAAUAUUGCACAAUGGGGGAAACCCUGAUGCAGCGACGCCGCGUGAAGGAUGAAGUAUUUCGGUAUGUAAACUUCUAUCAGCAGGGAAGAAAAUGACGGUACCUGACUAAGAAGCCCCGGCUAACUACGUGCCAGCAGCCGCGGUAAUACGUAGGGGGCAAGCGUUAUCCGGAUUCACUGGGUGUAAAGGGAGCGUAGACGGCCAUGCAAGCCUGGAGUGAAAGCCCGGGGCCCAACCCCGGGACUGCUCUGGGAACUGUGCGGCUGGAGUGCGGGAGGGGCAGGCGGAAUUCCUGGUGUAGCGGUGAAAUGCGUAGAUAUUAGGAGGAACACCAGUGGCGAAGGCGGCCUGCUGGACGAUGACUGACGUUGAGGCUCGAAAGCGUGGGGAGCAAACAGGAUUAGAUACCCCAGUAU